rnacentral:rRNA from 1 species
GCGGGCGUAGCAAUACGUCAGCGGCAGACGGGUGAGUAACGCGUGGGAACGUACCUUUUGGUUCGGAACAACACAGGGAAACUUGUGCUAAUACCGAAUAAGCCCUUACGGGGAAAGAUUUAUCGCCGAAAGAUCGGCCCGCGUCUGAUUAGCUAGUUGGUGAGGUAACGGCUCACCAAGGCGACGAUCAGUAGCUGGUCUGAGAGGAUGAUCAGCCACACUGGGACUGAGACACGGCCCAGACUCCUACGGGAGGCAGCAGUGGGGAAUAUUGGACAAUGGGCGAAAGCCUGAUCCAGCAAUGCCGCGUGAGUGAUGAAGGCCUUAGGG